GCCCUUAUGGUGCAAUGGCAGCAUGCUUUGCUCUUGUGAAUCAGGCAACUUGUGCAUAGUCCAUGUAGCAAGUUAUCUGGUUUAGUGUUAAAGAGGUCAGGGGUUUAAUUCCUCCUAGGGGCA